rnacentral:rRNA from 1 species
CUCCGGUUGAUCCUGCCGGACCUGACUGCUAUCGGAUUGGUACUAAGCCAUGCGAGUCAUUGUAGCAAUACAAGGCGGACGGCUCAGUAACACGUAGUCAACCUAACUCGUGGACGUGGAUAACCUCGGGAAACUGAGAAUAAACCACGAUAGACCAUAGUGCCUGGAAUGGCUUAUGGUCCAAACAGUUUACUGCCAUGGGAUGGGACUGCGGCCUAUCAGCUUGUUGGUGAGGUAAUGGCCCACCAAGGCGAUUACAGGUACGGGCUCUGAGAGGAGAAGCCCGGAGAUGGGUACUGAGACACGGACCCAGGCCCUAUGGGGCGCAGCAGGCGAGAAACCUUAGCAAUGUGCGAAAGCACGACUGGGUCAGUCCGAGUGAUUCCUGAUAAAGGAGUCUUUUGCUUGUCCUAAAAGCACAGGUGAAUAAGGGGUGGGCAAGUCUGGUGUCAGCCGCCGCGGUAAUACCAGCACCUCGAGUGGUCAGGACGUUUAUUGGGCCUAAAGCAUCCGUAGCCGGCUUUGCAAGUCUUCGGUUAAAUCCACCUGCUCAACAGAUGGGCUGCUGGAGAUACUACAAAGCUAGGGAGUGGGAGAGGCAGACGGUAUUCAGUGGGUAGGGGUAAAAUCCUCUGAUCCAUUGAGGACCACCAGUGGCGAAGGCGGUCUGCCAGAACACGUUCGACGGUGAGGGAUGAAAGCUGGGGGAGCAAACCGGAUUAGAUACCCGGGUAGUCCCAGCUGUAAACGAUGCAAACUCGGUGAUGCAUUGGCUUAUGGCCAAUGCAGUGCCGCAGGGAAGCCGUUAAGUUUGCCGCCUGGGAAGUACGGACGCAAGUCUGAAACUUAAAGGAAUUGGCGGGGAGCA